AGGGUUAUGUUUUAAAUCAUAUUUUAGGAUUGCACUUAAUUGAUAUUGCUGUUGAGUGAUGUUUCAUAUCUUUUACAUUUGUUAUAACCGGACUGCAUGCGAAUUUGAACUUCAGAGCUGAAGGAGCGGGUGGAGAAAUAGUCCCAAUAUCAUAACAAUCUUAAAUAAAACUUCUAAAUAUGCCCGUGUGUGUACCCGUGUGCGCGCGCGCGUGCGCGCGACCCGCUCGCGCGCGCCUGUGUAUGUACAGUAUGUGCGUGAGUUUUUAAUUUAAAAUGUCUUAACUUAACUCGGAAGGAUCUGAAUCACAGGUCAUUUCAUCUGAGAUCAUUCCGCAUGUAACAGCCCGGAAUCACUCACUGUUUCCCACAACGACACAAGUCAUCAGCCGUUUCCUCAAGGUCACGUCAGAGCGGUGAUGAUGUGGAGAAGGCAGACCAGACCACCACCAUACGCGAAGAUGAGGCUCGAGGCGUGACAGUUAUUUUUUCAAACUGAGGAGUUCGGACUCCGGACCGGCAUUUCUGCUUGUUUGUACCCUGAGAUAAGUAAACUUUCUACAUUUUUGAACCGAUAUUACUGAAAUAUUUAGUAUAAUUAGUUAAUAUUUAUUUUGUUAGAGUAGGUCUUGUGCUAAAUAGUGAUACUAGAAGCUACAUUUAUAAUAUUUACCUCAGUUAAAAAAUACUGCUGGUAACGUUAAAGCACUGACGGGCUUCGUCAACCGUCAGUUAUAAAAGCUCUGUUAAAUACAUUUUGUUCCUGGUUUUAAUGAAUUACGUUACAGUCCUGCUUUAUUUCUUUGUCAUUUUAAAUUAAUUUGCCAAGCACAAUAAGACAGCUGUGUUGUAAGGAGACGAAAUUCGAGAUAAAAUGGCCCCAAACAUCAUCAGGAGUGCAAAAGAAGGAAGUAAAAAACAUCUCUACGCCAAUCUCAUUGGAGAGGAAACCACAGAAGGUCUGGUGAGGAAUGCUGCACUUAUGUUAUUGCAAGCAUUAUUUCAAGAAAAUCCCAGCUUCCUUGACUGUGUAAAUAGUCAUACAGCUCCACAUCAAUUAUUAUGAGUCUUGUUGGUUCGAACCCAAAGGUCCCACACCAACCAUAGUGUUCAACGGCUCUCCUGAUCUUCUCAAAUCUGAAAGUAUCAACUUUAUAAUGGACAAUGUGAACUUAAUAUGUGGAAGACAUUGACAUCACAGGCUGUGGAAUGACUGUGUCACAGGUCGGAGAAGCGAACCGCCCCUGUCGCGGAUCACGCUCCUCCUAGUUCCACCUCGAGGAGGUCCCAAAGCACCCCAAUGACCAGACGAACCAGAGAUAAGUAAAAUAUAGAAAUAGAAACUUUAUUUAAAUUAUUUAAAGCUAAAGUGGGGAAUGGGAAAGGGAAUGUAAAAAUCUCGCUUCUCGCCCUCAGGGGGAGUAUUACGGGGCCAGGGACGUUGGAGGGGUUUCCACGUGACUACAGCUGGAACACCGCUACAGAGCGUAUCUGGGUGGGUUGGGCACACACCAUCGCGGCGGCCCCUGAUGGCAUCCACAAAGGUCCAAGACGCUCCUAAGCUCCUAGCCGUAGCAGAACUACGUAUUUCAGCACCCGAAGGACUAACAACCCAGCCGGCAUCUGCAGCGUAUAUCCAACGCGAUCAAACUUCACUCUGACAAGUAACUUCCUAUACACAACCACGCCGUCCUUUCGCCCGGACCAGCCCCGCACUCUUUCCGCCCGCUACCUAGCGGUCGCCGGAUCAGCAGAGCCUGCGGACUCUUCGGAGGCUGGUCUUCGUUGUGCUGCCCAAGGCGGAAGUUGACUCGCCCGAAAAUCGACCCUUCCAGUAACUUCUACCUUCUCUCUUUAUAUCCUCCUCCACUCACACAGCUGUGCCUUGUUUCAGCGAGUGCGGGGAUUCCCGGGGAACCCGGAAGUGCCGGUAUCUGUACAAACCGGGCCGGGCGAAACCUCUUCACUCUCCUUUUGGUUCCGCCCCGCAUAGUCACUUCGUGACAACUGUUUGCGUUUUUUUUCUCCUCAAUGUUCAAUACCCUUUUGCCAUUAAGCACACAGUGACUUUAAUUUAUAAAAUAUAUGCUGAAGUUUUAAUACCUGUACAAAACAAAUGUACAAUCAACUUGUGUAAAUUGUCAUUCUAUUUAAUAGAUUGUUCAUGAAUUGUCUUUAAAUGCAUUGUGAUUUCGGUAACACUUUACAAUAAAGUUCAUUAGUUAACAUUAGUUAAUGUAUUAACUAACUUGAACAAACCAUAAGCAAUACAUUUGUUACAGAAUUUAUUCAUCUUUGUUAAUGUUAGUUAAUAACAAUUUAAGCUUUAAUUGCUUGUUCAUGUUAGUUCAGAGUGCAUUAACUAAUGUUAACAAGAUUUAAAUAAAGUAAUUGUUGAAAUUAACAUUAACAAAGGUUAAUAAAGGCUGUAUAAGUGCAGUUCAUUCUUAGUUUAUGUUAACUAAUGUAGCUAACUAAUGUUAACUAAUGAACCUUAUUGUAAAGUGUUACCGUGAUUUCUUUUCAUAAUUUCAGACACAUGUAAAAGUUACUAAAAAUUAGUACUGCAUAUACUGUACAGUAUCUAUGCGCAAGGGAAAUAACUUGA